rnacentral:rRNA from 1 species
AGCGAACGCUAGCGGCAUGCCUCAAACAUGCAAGUCGAACGCGAAAGUGACUUCGGUCACGAGUAGAGUGGCGCACGGGUGAGUAACACGUAACUAACGUCCCUCCUCGCUGAGGACAACUCCGGGAAACCGGAGCUAAUACUGAAUGAUUUCAUCGGGACUGCGGUCCUGAUGGGUAAAGCUUCACAGCGCGAGGAGAUCGGGUUGCGGCCUAUUAGCUAGUUGGGAGGUAACGGCCCACCAAGGCUACGAUAGGUAGCUGGUCUGAGAGGAUGAUCAGCCACACUGGAACUGACACACGGUCCAGACUCCCACGGGAGGCAGCAGUUGGGAAUAUUGGACAAUGGGGGCAACCCUGAUCCAGCAAUGCCGCGUGAAUGACGAAGGUC